rnacentral:pre_miRNA from 1 species
AGCUUUCUGAAUCCGUGCUGAGAUUUCGUCAAACACCAACCCAUUAGGGUUGAUCAGA